GAUGAACGCUAGCUACAGGCUUAACACAUGCAAGUCGAGGGACCGGCGCACGGGUGAGUAUCGCGUAUCCAACCUUCCCAUUACUGUGGGAUAACCUGCCGAAAGGCAGACUAAUACCGCAUGGUUAAAGUCGGUAAUGGAUGGGGAUGCGUCUGAUUAGCUUGUUGGCGGGGUAACGGCCCACCAAGGCGACGAUCAGUAGGGGUUCUGAGAGGAAGGUCCCCCACAUUGGAACUGAGACACGGUCCAAACUCCUACGGGAGGCAGCAGUGAGGAAUAUUGGUCAAUGGACGUAAGUCUGAACCAGCCAAGUAGCGUGCAGGAUGACGGCCUAUGGGUUGUAAACUGCUUUUACAGGGGAAUAUGCAUGUACCCUGCGAAUAAGGACCGGCUAAUUCCGUGCCAGCAGCCGCGGUAAUACGGAAGGUCCUGGUGUUAUCCGGAUUUAUUGGGUUUAAAGGGAGCGUAGGCCGUAGAUUAAGUGUGUUGUGAAAUGUAGUCGCCCAACGUCUGCCUUGCAGCGCAAACUGGUUUACUUGAGUACGCACAACGCAGGCGGAAUUCGUCGUGUAGCGGUGAAAUGCUUAGAUAUGAUGAAGAACUCCUAUUGCGAAGGCAGCUUGCGGGAGCGACUGACGCUGAGGCUCGAAAGUGCGGGUAUCGAACAGGAUUAGAUACCCUGGUAGUCCGCACGGUAAACGAUGGAUGCCCGUUUUUGGCUAGCCAGAGACCAAGCGAAAGCAUUAAGCAUCCCACCUGGGGAGUACGCCGGCAACGGUGAAACUCAAAGGAAUUGACGGGGGCCCGCACAAGCGGAGGACAUGUGGUUAAUUCGAUGAUACGCGAGGAACCUUACCCGGGCUUGAAUUGUGAAGGUGCUGCAUGGUUGUCGUCAGCUCGUGCCGUGAGGUGUCGGCUUAAGUGCCAUAACGAGCGCAACCCCUCUCUUCAGUUGCCAUCAGCUGGGCACUCUGGAGACACUGCCACCGUAAGGUGGAGGAAGGUGGGGAUGACGUCAAAUCAGCACGGCCCUUACGUCCGGGGCUACACACGUGUUACAAUGGCCGGCAGAGGGAUGGUGUAAUGCAAAUUGCAUCAAAUCUUGCCGGUCCCGGUUCGGAUGGGGUCUGCAACCCGACCCCAGAAGCUGGAUUCGCUAGUAAUCGCGCAUCAGCCAUGGCGCGGUGAAUACGUUCCCGGGCCUUGUACACACCGCCCGUCAAGCCAUGAAAGCCGGGGGUGCCUGAAGUUCGUAGCGACCUAGGGCAAAACUGGUGAUGGGGGC
rnacentral:rRNA from 3 species